GAUGAAGAACGUAGCGAAAUGUGAUACUUGGUGUGAAUUGCAGAAUCCCGUGAACCAUCGAGUCUUUGAACGCAAGUUGCGCCCGAAGCCAUUAGGCCGAGGGCACGCCUGCCUGGGCGUCACACGUCGUUGCCCCCCCAUCUACUCCUUCGGGAUUGCGGGGGGCGGAUGAUGGCCUCCCGUGCGCCUCGUCGCGCGGUUGGCAUAAAUGCCAAGUCCUCGGCGACGCACGCCACGACAAUCGGUGGUUGCGAAACCUCGGUUGCCCGUCGUGUGCGGUCGUCGCGCAUCGAGGGCUCGAAAAAAUUGUCGGGCUCCGGCUCGGCUUUCAACGCGACCCCAGGUCAGGCGGGGUUACCCGCUGAAUUUAAGCAUAUCAAUAAGCGGAGGA
rnacentral:misc_RNA from 1 species